rnacentral:rRNA from 1 species
UUAGGUCGGGAACUCAAAGGAGACUGCCAGUGAUAAACUGGAGGAAGGUGGGGAUGACGUCAAGUCAUCAUGGCCCUUACGACCAGGGCUACACACGUGCUACAAUGGCGCAUACAAAGAGAAGCGACCUCGCGAGAGCAAGCGGACCUCAUAAAGUGCGUCGUAGUCCGGAUUGGAGUCUGCAACUCGACUCCAUGAAGUCGGAAUCGCUAGUAAUCGUGGAUCAGAAUGCCACGGUGAAUACGUUCCCGGGCCUUGUACACACCGCCCGUCACACCAUGGGAGUGGGUUGCAAAAGAAGUAGGUAGCUUAACCUUCGGGAGGGCGCUUACCACUUUGUGAUUCAUGACUGGGGUGAAGUCGUAACAAGGUAACCGUAGGGGAACCUGCGGUUGGAUCACCUCCUUACCUGAAAGAAGC